rnacentral:rRNA from 1 species
UUAAGUUAUUAAGGGCGCACGGUGGAUGCCUUGGCACUAGAAGCCGAUGAAGGACGUUACUAACGACGAUAUGCUUUGGGGAGCUGUAAGUAAGCGUUGAUCCAGAGAUUUCCGAAUGGGGAAACCCAGCAUGAGUUAUGUCAUGUUAUCGAUAUGUGAAUACAUAGCAUAUCAGAAGGCAGACCCGGAGAACUGAAACAUCUUAGUACCCGGAGGAAGAGAAAGAAAAAUCGAUUCCCUGAGUAGCGGCGAGCGAAACGGGAAGAGCCCAAACCAACAAGCUUGCUUGUUGGGGUUGUAGGACACUCUAUACGGAGUUACAAAAGAACAUGUUAGACGAAUCAUCUGGAAAGAUGAAUCAAAGAAGGUAAUAAUCCUGUAGUCGAAAACAUAUUCUCUCUUGAGUGGAUCCUGAGUACGACGGAGCACGUGAAAUUCCGUCGGAAUCUGGGAGGACCAUCUCCUAAGGCUAAAUACUCUCUAGUGACCGAUAGUGAACCAGUACCGUGAGGGAAAGGUGAAAAGUACCCCGGAAGGGGAGUGAAAGAGAACUUGAAACCGUGUGCUUACAAGUAGUCAGAGCCCGUUAAUGGGUGAUGGCGUGCCUUUUGUAGAAUGAACCGGCGAGUUACGAUCUGAUGCAAGGUUAAGCAGCAAAUGUGGAGCCGCAGCGAAAGCGAGUCUGAAUAGGGCGUUGAGUAUUUGGUCGUAGACCCGAAACCAGGUGAUCUACCCUUGGUCAGGUUGAAGUUCAGGUAACACUGAAUGGAGGACCGAACCGACUUACGUUGAAAAGUGAGCGGAUGAACUGAGGGUAGCGGAGAAAUUCCAAUCGAACUUGGAGAUAGCUGGUUCUCUCCGAAAUAGCUUUAGGGCUAGCCUCAAGUGAUGAUUAUUGGAGGUAGAGCACUGUUUGGACGAGGGGCCCCUCUCGGGUUACCGAAUUCAGACAAACUCCGAAUGCCAAUUAAUUUAACUUGGGAGUCAGAACAUGGGUGAUAAGGUCCGUGUUCGAAAGGGAAACAGCCCAGACCACCAGCUAAGGUCCCAAAAUAUAUGUUAAGUGGAAAAGGAUGUGGCGUUGCCCAGACAACUAGGAUGUUGGCUUAGAAGCAGCCAUCAUUUAAAGAGUGCGUAAUAGCUCACUAGUCGAGUGACACUGCGCCGAAAAUGUACCGGGGCUAAACAUAUUACCGAAGCUGUGGAUUGUCCUUUGGACAAUGGUAGGAGAGCGUUCUAAGGGCGUCGAAGCAUGAUCGCAAGGACAUGUGGAGCGCUUAGAAGUGAGAAUGCCGGUGUGAGUAGCGAAAGACGGGUGAGAAUCCCGUCCACCGAUUGACUAAGGUUUCCAGAGGAAGGCUCGUCCGCUCUGGGUUAGUCGGGUCCUAAGCUGAGGCCGACAGGCGUAGGCGAUGGAUAACAGGUUGAUAUUCCUGUACCACCUAGUAUCGUUUUAAUCGAUGGGGGGACGCAGUAGGAUAGGCGAAGCGUGCUGUUGGAGUGCACGUCCAAGCAGUAAGGCUGAGUGUUAGGCAAAUCCGGCACUCAUAAGGCUGAGCUGUGAUGGGGAGAGGAAAUUGUUUCCUCGAGUCGUUGAUUUCACACUGCCGAGAAAAGCCUCUAGAUAGAUAACAGGUGCCCGUACCGCAAACCGACACAGGUAGUCAAGAUGAGAAUUCUAAGGUGAGCGAGCGAACUCUCGUUAAGGAACUCGGCAAAAUGACCCCGUAACUUCGGGAGAAGGGGUGCUCUUUAGGGUUCACGCCCAGAAGAGCCGCAGUGAAUAGGCCCAAGCGACUGUUUAUCAAAAACACAGGUCUCUGCUAAACCGUAAGGUGAUGUAUAGGGGCUGACGCCUGCCCGGUGCUGGAAGGUUAAGAGGAGUGGUUAGCUUCUGCGAAGCUACGAAUCGAAGCCCCAGUAAACGGCGGCCGUAACUAUAACGGUCCUAAGGUAGCGAAAUUCCUUGUCGGGUAAGUUCCGAC